rnacentral:piRNA from 1 species
UGAGUUGAUGAAUAAAGGUUACUAGGACUA